rnacentral:rRNA from 1 species
UACGAGGGGGGCGAGCGUUUGUUCGGAAUUAUUGGGCGUAAAGGGUGCGUAGGCGGUUUGGUAAGUCUGAUGUGAAAUCUAUGGGCUCAACUCAUAGUCUGCAUCGGAAACUGCCGGGCUUGAGUAUGGGAGAGGUGAGUGGAAUUCCUGGUGUAGCGGUGAAAUGCGUAGAUAUCAGGAGGAACACCAAUGGCGAAGGCAGCACUCUGGGACGUGACUGACGCUGAGACGCGAAAGCGUGGGGAGCAAACAGG